rnacentral:rRNA from 1 species
AACGAACGCUGGCGGUAGGCUUAACGCAUGCAAGUCGAACGCGUCCUUCGGGGUGAGUGGCAGACGGGUGAGUAACGCGUGGGAAUAUGCCCUUCAGUACGGAAUAACUCAGGGAAACUUGUGCUAAUACCGUAUACGCCCUUUUGGGGAAAGAUUUAUCGCUGAAGGAUUAGCCCGCGUCUGAUUAGCUAGUUGGUGGGGUAAUGGCCUACCAAGGCGACGAUCAGUAGCUGGUCUGAGAGGAUGAUCAGCCACACUGGGACUGAGACACGGCCCAGACUCCUACGGGAGGCAGCAGUGGGGAAUAUUGGACAAUGGGCGCAAGCUUGAUCCAGCCAUGCCGCGUGAGUGAUGAAGGCCUUAGGGUUGUAAAGCUCUUUCGUUGGGGAAGAUAAUGACGGUACCCAAAGAAGAAGCCCCGGCUAACUUCGUGCCAGCCGCCGCAGUAACAC